GGAAGCCUCAAAAUGCAUUUACACCCCUCGCCCCCGCCGCAGAUUUGCUUAAAAAUGCCAGAAUGAGCAUGUGCUUAGAAAAAUCAUUUGCUUUUUAGACCCCCCCCACCUCUACCCCCAGCUCCAGCCCCCAACUUGGUAAAAAAAAUUGCAAAGGGAAAGGAUCUAGCCAGGAUGGAGUGGAUGACGACACACACGUGCCCUUUGGAAAAGCUGCGACUGUCAUACGUGACAGCCUAGCUUAAAGGACAGAGCUGAGUGCAAGGGAAUGGGGGGAAACCAGAUGAAACGAAGUGAGAAGCGAACACAAAUAAUUGACACCAGAAGUCAACUGCUGAGCUUUUUGGAAUGAGAUUACAGUGGAAACAGCCAUGCCAAGAAAUCUGCACUGGUAUUCUUGCUUGGUUCUUACUACAUCACAUCGGGAGGUCCAAGCGUUCAUGCCGAGUUUGAUUCCUUUCCUAAGACAAUGACCACCAAAUACCUCCAAGGCAAGAUGCAGUUUCUCUGACUACAUGGAUAAUGUGCUCUUGAGUGAGGUUGCCUAGGAAGCAAGAAGAGCUGGAGCUGGAGUUACCUACACGGGUGCUGGGAACUGAACACGUCUUCUGCAAGAGCAACAGGGUUUCUUUGUGUAGCCCUAGAUGUCCUGGAACUUGCUCUGUAGACCAGGAUCUCAGAGAUUCUCCUACCUCUGCCUCUUGAGUGCUGGGAUCAAAGGUGUGUACCUCCACUGCCUACUCCUGGAAUCCAGUUGUAGAGAAGGAGGAGUGAUGAACAAAGGGGUCAAGACCAUGCUGGAGAAACCCACAGAAACAGCAGAUCUGAGCAAGGGGGAGCUCACAGAUCCCAUUUUGACAGCUGGGGAACCAACCCUGCUGAAUGUGCAUAUCAACUAGGAGGCCUGGGCAGUCUAUAGGGCCUCUGACAGUGGAACCAGUAUUUAUCCCUAGUGCAUGAGCGAACUUCGGGAGCCCAUUCCACAUAGAGGGAUACUCUCUCAGCCUAGAUACAGGUGGGAGGGUCUAG
rnacentral:lncRNA from 1 species